CCAAUUAUUCCUAAACAACCACAUCAUAACCCCAUUUCCAUUUAACAUUAAACUUCUCUUUAAUAUCCCAAAUCAAUAAACAAAAUACCAAACCUUUCCAAUUUAUAUCCUAAACAUGAUUUAUAAUCCACAACCAAUUAUACACGCAAUACCUCUUGGAGCAAAAAGGAGAAAAUCCGAAAAUCCACCGACGACGAAAACAUGAUCCGCUCAGAUUAAAUCGAAGCCCUCGCAACCCUCUACGUUUUGAUCUAUAGGACUAGGGGUAGAAAAUGGGAGUAACUAGAUGAAACCCAAGCUUUUAGGUCUACGAAACCCUAAAAUGGCGAAAAAAGGAGAGCGAGAAGAGAGAGAAAAGAAAAAAGUAACUUUUUCAGCGCACUACGGCCUUAUAUAGACAUGUAGACCACUCGAGCGUCUAAACACAAAAAUGUGACCGCUCGAGCGCAAGAAGUGUCGCUCGAGUGUAUAAUACAAAGUCUCAAAAGUUUUAAGACAAGUGACCAUCGCUCAAGCACAAGAAGUGCCGCUCGAGCGCAAGAAUGGCCGCUCAAGCAAAGAAUGACAAUUCCUUAUAUCUUUGCAGACCUGCAAAAGUGCUGGAAGUUCACAAUAACCGCUUGAACGCAGGAAGUGCCGCUCGAGCGCAGAAGCAAAAUUUUAGGUAAUGACAAUUCGAGAAACGAGUUACCAACCUAUUCCCAACGCAACCAAGACACUCUAAUAACCAAACCCAAUAAACAAUGAGUAGAGUCAAGACAUGAACAACCAAAAAGGCAAUGAAACCCGGAUCCAAAACAUCAACAGGUCAUAUUCAAACCAGGGUCACUAUAUUUUAUCUCAAACUAAACCAAUCCUGACCAUGCUCAUGAUAAGAUAAUUGAUCCAAUUACCUUAGCAGCUCACCCCUACGACUCUUAUUUUGUUGGGUUUAUUUUGGGUGCAAUUUGACAAGUUUGAUUGUAUUAAAAGGUUGUCUAGCCCUGAUCCAAGUAAUGCUAAGAAUUUCUCAAGCUUAAUAACUUGUAAUUCGAGGUUGUCUAUCUAAAUUUAACCUGAGGUAGGCUUGAAUUGCACAAAAAUUUGAUUAUUUAUUUAUUUUUGCUAAGUUGAUUAAUUUGUUAACACUAGAUUUUCUUAAUAUUUUUGACAAAAAUCAUUAAUAAUAUCAAAAUAAAUAUUUUAUAUGAUAUUAAAAAGUUGUGCACCUGCAAUAGUCUUCGUUAUUUUUUAGUGAGACUAAAGAGUAAAGUUUUUUUAUUAUGUUACUUGUGUAUAGAAAAUAUAUAAUAAAUAUAAUUUAGCGAUACAAAAUAUUUUAAAAUCAAUUAAAGUCUAAUAAUUUGUAUUAUAUUAAAUAUUUUUAUAUAUUUAUAUAUAUGAUUUGGGUUUUGGAUUGCUUGAGUUAUUUGUUGUUUUCCUACCCAAACGCGAGCCAAAUUUAUUUUAGGCUUCUAAAUUUUUUUUAUCAAACCCACACUAAAUUCAAAAAUGUUAUUCAAACCUUAAAAUAUUAGAUUUUUUCUCAUAGGUGAAUAUUUAGGUUAAUUUUAUUUCCACACAUCAAUUCUUCUCAGUUCACAUACUUAAUGAAAAUUUUUCUUAAUAAAAUUUUGUUAUAGAAUAAAAUACCAUAAUAUCCUUAUUUUCUUCCACCCAAAACCCUAAUUCUAAAAUAUCACAACCAUCCUCCAUUGCCAGCCCCACCUCUCUCAUUUACCAUCCCCUUUCAUUGCCUCUUUCCCCCUCCAAUUGCGACCACCUUCCGCUAUGAACUCUAUACUUCCACAAGCCCCCCGCGGCCAUGAACCACCCAUUUUCGAGAUUGAUUGUGGAAGUUUAGGAUGGAAUUACUUGAAUAGUAUGCUAUAAUUAUCAGCAUAUUUAUAAUUUAUCUUUUAUCAAUUAAUAUAAAAAAAAUUACUGCUUGCCAACCUGGCAAUUUUUAAAUACAUGACAAGUUGAAUGUGAAGCUUUUGAAUUUUCUUUCAUAAGUGAAUGUGUGAUUGGAUAUUACUAGCUUUAUAUUUAUAAUAUCUUCUAUCAGUUAAUAAAUUGUGAAUUAUUAAGGUGUUUAGGUUUUACUUUUUUUCUUAAUAAAUUUUUGAUGUUUUUACUAACAUUUUAAAAUUUUUAAUGAAAAAGUCAAAUUCCCAAACAGUCUCCCAAUAAGAUAAGUUGAAUGACAUAGCUGUAGAAUCAAACCAAUUAUUUUUGUUGUUAAUUUUAUUUCAAUUUUGCUCCAAGUGAUCAUUCCUUAAUUUCAUAAGCAAUACUACACUUUGAGGAAAAAAAAAAAAA